GGGGAAAUUACCAAACAACACGCUUGUCUGUGGUGACUCUGGAAAUGAUGCUGAGCUUUUCAGCAUCCCGGAUGUUUACGGUGUGAUGGUAUCGAAUGCACAGGAGGAAUUAUUACAAUGGCAUGCUGCAAAUGCGAAAGAUAAUCCGAAAGUAAUUCAUGCAACAGAGAGAUGUGCUGCGGGUAUAAUACAAGCCAUUGGGCGUUUCAACCUGGGACCAAGUACCUCUCCUAGAGACGUUACCGAUAUGUCAGACAGUAAGAU
rnacentral:misc_RNA from 1 species